AUGUAUUUUACAUUUGAAACUGUUCAGCGAAUAAUUUCUGACUUUUGUCAAUUUUUUCAGACAUCUAAGAGAGACAUUUACCCUGCCUCUUUUUCAUGUUCAAAAUCCAUUUGCAGACUUCAGAUGGUAAGAAGAAAACAAAUGUACAGCACUAUAAAUAACUAAUGGGAUUCAUGCAUUCAGAGUUGCACUCAGAUUGAUAGUUUUCCAGCAAGGAUCUCUGCUCUCCCCUGCUGAAGUCACCCGGGCCACUGCUAUCAUCUGUGGUAGAAGUAUGACUGACAGCUGUAAUUGGCUGUCACUGUGGUACCUGAGACUGGCUUGCUGUUGUGUACCUUCAGCAAACUUGCAUCAGCAG
rnacentral:lncRNA from 1 species